rnacentral:rRNA from 1 species
GACGAACGCUGGCGGCGUGCUUAACACAUGCAAGUCGAACGGAAAGGCCCUGCUUUUGUGGUGUGCUCGAGUGGCGAACGGGUGAGUAACACGUGAGUAACCUGCCCUUGACUUUGGGAUAACUUCAGGAAACUGGGGCUAAUACCGUAUAGGAGCCCCUGCUGCAUGGUGGGGGUGGGAACUUUUGGGCUGUGGUGGUUGGACUCGCGGGUAACCGGUUGGUUGGUGGGGUAGUGGCUUACCAAGGCAGUGACGGGUAGGCGGCAUGUGAGGGUGGCCGGCCACAUUGGGACUGAGAUACGGACCAGACUCGUACGGGAGGCAGCAGUGGCGAAUAUUGCACAAUGGGAGGAAGCCUGAUGAAGAAACGCCGCGUGCGGGAUGACGGCCUUCGGGUUGUAAACCGCUUUAGCCUGUGACGAAGCGUGAGUGACGGUAAUGGGUAAAGAAGCACCGGCUAACUACGUG